CCUACGGGUGGCAGCAGUGGGGAAUAUUGGACAAUGGGGGCAACCCUGAUCCAGCCAUGCCGCGUGUGUGAAGAAGGCCCUCGGGUUGUAAAGCACUUUCAGUGAGGAAGAACGCCUGGUGGUUAAUACCCAUCAGGAAAGACAUCACUCACAGAAGAAGCACCGGCUAACUCCGUGCCAGCAGCCGCGGUAAUACGGAGGGUGCGAGCGUUAAUCGGAAUUACUGGGCGUAAAGCGCGCGUAGGUGGCUUGAUAAGCCGGUUGUGAAAGCCCCGGGCUCAACCUGGGAACGGCAUCCGGAACUGUCAAGCUAGAGUGCAGGAGAGGAAGGUAGAAUUCCCGGUGUAGCGGUGAAAUGCGUAGAGAUCGGGAGGAAUACCAGUGGCGAAGGCGGCCUUCUGGACUGACACUGACACUGAGGUGCGAAAGCGUGGGUAGCAAACAGGAUUAAAUACCCCAGUAGUC
rnacentral:rRNA from 1 species